GCUAAACUCCAAGUUAGCUGGCUGCAAAGGCCCAGGGGUUGAUAGUUGAAUCUCCCUUUUCUGGUAUCUUUGGGGAGGGUGCUGUUACAAAUGUAAUUCUUUGUCAGUUCUUGCCCCAAAACUGUGCUUUUGCCCAUUAACUGUCCCCUCUAACCAUCUGUUCUUUCAGUCAACAAAGAUUUAAGCACCUUUGGGUGCCAGAGACAACCUAGUAGGUAAGCAGUGAACAAGACAAACAAUUUUUAUUUAUAAACUAAAUUCUACCAGAGAAAAAUUAACUAGGAAAUAUAUAAAGUGACAUUGACUAAGUUUCAUGAAGAAAGUAGGGUGCUAUGCUAAUUAAUAAUGGGGCAAGUUAAGCACCUUAGGUGGGGUGGUUGGGAAGGCCUCCCCGAAAAGAGAAGACGUUAAACUUUUAAUUAUAGUAACAAGAGAGAACAGGAUAGUAAUCCCCCAUGAGCUCAUCAUGCAGUUUUAGCAAAUCCAGCUUCAUGAACUCAUGGUCAACCUUAUUUCAUUUAUAUCUGCACGAGAUUAUCUAGAAUUCCAAAUAUUGUUCUUUUCAUCCAUAAAAGUAUUUCAUAAUGUAUCGCCAAAACACACUUACAGAAAUCAAGAAUUAUUCCUUAAUACCUUCAAAUAUCUAAUUAAUGCUCAAAUUUUUUAUUGUUUUAUAAAUUUAUGUUGUAGUUUGUUUGAAUCAAGAUCCAAGCAGGGCUUAAUGUAUUUGGAAUUAGAUAAUAUAUCUCUACAAUAUCUUCUAAUCUACAGGUGUGCUUUCUCUCUCUUCCUGUGGCCCUCCUCCCUCCCUUCCCACUUCUCCCCUAUUUUCAUUGCAGUUUGUUGUACCUGAAUUGUUUGUC
rnacentral:lncRNA from 1 species